GCCAGCAGCCGCGGGAACACCGGCGGCCCGAGUGGUGAUCGUGAUUAUUGGGUCUAAAGGGUCCGUAGCCGGUUUGGUCAGUCCUCCGGGAAAUCUGAUAGCUCAACUAUUAGGCUUUCGGGGGAUACUGCCAGACUUGGAACCGGGAGAGGUAAGAGGUACUACAGGGGUAGGAGUGAAAUCUUGUAAUCCCUGUGGGACCACCUGUGGCGAAGGCGUCUUACCAGAACGGGUUCGACGGUGAGGGACGAAAGCUGGGGGCACGAACCGGAUUAGAUACCCGGGUAGUCCCAGCCGUAAACGAUGCUCGCUAGGUGUCAGGCAUGGCGCGACCGUGUCUGGUGCCGCAGGGAAGCCGUGAAGCGAGCCACCUGGGAAGUACGGCCGCAAGGCUGAAACUUAAAGGAAUUGGCGGGGGAGCACAACAACGGGUGGAAGCCUGCGGUUUAAUUGGACUCAACGCCGGACAACUCACCGGGGGCGACAGCAAUAUGUAGGCCAAGCUGAAGACUUUGCCUGAAUCGCUGAGGGGAGGUGCAUGG
rnacentral:rRNA from 1 species